GACGAAGGGGGCUAGCGUUGUUCGGAAUUACUGGGCGUAAAGCGCGUGUAGGCGGUUCCGCAAGUCAGGUGUGAAAGCCCAGGGCUCAACCCUGGAAGUGCACUUGAUACUACGGAGCUUGAGUACUGAAGAGGAGAGCGGAAUUCCCGGUGUAGAGGUGAAAUUCGUAGAUAUCGGGUAGAACACCAGUGGCGAAGGCGGCUAUCUGGACGGACACUGACGCUGAGACGCGAAAGCGUGGGAGGCAACAGGG
rnacentral:rRNA from 1 species